rnacentral:rRNA from 1 species
AAUUAGAGACCGGCGCACGGGUGCGUAACGCGUAUGUAAUCUACCUUUCACAGAGGGAUAGCCCAGAGAAAUUUGGAUUAAUACCUCAUAGUAUUAUAGAAUGGCAUCAUUUUAUAAUUAAAGUCACAACGGUGAAAGAUGAGCAUGCGUCCCAUUAGUUAGUUGGUAAGGUAACGGCUUACCAAGACUACGAUGGGUAGGGGUCCUGAGAGGGAGAUCCCCCACACUGGUACUGAGACACGGACCAGACUCCUACGGGAGGCAGCAGUGAGGAAUAUUGGACAAUGGGCGCAAGCCUGAUCCAGCCAUGCCGCGUGCAGGAUGAAGCAUCUAUGGUGUGUAAACUGCUUUUAUACGAGAAGAAACAACUCUACGUGUAGAGUCUUGACGGUAUCGUAAGAAUAAGGACCGGCUAACUCCGUGCCAGCAGCCGCGGUAAUACGGAGGGUCCAAGCGUUAUCCGGAAUCAUUGGGUUUAAAGGGUCCGUAGGCGGCCUUAUAAGUCAGUGGUGAAAUCUCCCGGCUCAACCGGGAAAUGGCCAUUGAUACUGUAGGGCUUGAAUUAUUAGGAAGUAACUAGAAUAUGUAGUGUAGCGGUG